UCUCCAGUGCAAAUGACCUUCUAAGGAUAUUUUUUAAAGAAGAUUUACUAAAAAGCCGGAAAAUUCUGGGAGAAUCAUACAUCAGCAGGUUGUCCUGGACAAUUUUUCUGUUCUAAUUUGUCUCUAACAAACACGUUUUCGUUUUUGUAUAGCCAUUUGCCUUUAGGACAUUAGAAACAUAUUUCCUCUCCUCAGCCUUCGAAUCGAGUGAAGAUGGUAAACAGUAAGCCUUCCUGAGUGCUAAAGGAUACAAGCUCAUGAAUAAGAUGGAUUUAUAUUUCACCUUUCUAUGGCUCAACUGUGGAACAGCGUUUCUGCUAAUCCCUCCAAUUACUACAGCGAGCAACCAAAUGCAAACACCACUGAUCUUCAUCAAUAACAUAUUCAUGGAGAACUUCAGCAUAGAAAAUCAUACAAUUCAGACUGAAAGCGUGCGGGACCCCUGGGAGUGUUUUCGUCACUGCGCCAAACACUGCGAUUGCAUUGCGUUUCAAGUCAGUGGAAAAAUGUGUGAGCUUCUGGACACGGACAUUGAUGGGGCCAUCGGGAAGCGGGUGAAAAGACCAGGAACUGUUUUGUAUCAUGUGCAGCA
rnacentral:misc_RNA from 1 species